GCCUUGAAAUCAAUUUCUACCUAAUAUACACAUGCAAGUCUCCGCACCCCUGUGAAAACGCCCUUAAACCCCUGUAGGGAAGAGGAGCCGGUAUCAGGCACAAAUCAUGCCCAAGACACCUAGCUACGCCACACCCACAAAGGUACUCAGCAGUGAUUAACCUUGAACAUAAGCGACAGCUUGAUUCAGUUAUAGUAUACAGAGCCGGCAAAUCUGGUGCCAGCCGCCGCGGUUACACCACGUGGCUCAAAUUGACUUCUAUCGGCGUAAAGCGUGAUUAAAGCCACUUUGUACAAUAGAGUUAAACUGAAAUUAAGCCGUUACACGCUUAUUACCCAAGAAGCCCAAAAACGAAAGUUACUCCACCUCUAUCAACUUGAACUCACGACAGCUGGAACACAAAC
rnacentral:rRNA from 1 species